rnacentral:rRNA from 1 species
GAUGAACGCUGGCGGCGUGCUUAACACAUGCAAGUCGAGCGAUGAAGUUUCCUUCGGGAAACGGAUUAGCGGCGGACGGGUGAGUAACACGUGGGUAACCUGCCUCAUAGAGUGGAAUAGCCUUCCGAACGGAAGAUUAAUACCGCAUAACGUUGAAAGAUGGCAUCAUCAUUCAACCAAAGGAGCAAUCCGCUAUGAGAUGGACCCGCGGCGCAUUAGCUAGUUGGUGGGGUAAUGGCCUACCAAGGCGACGAUGCGUAGCCGACCUGAGAGGGUGAUCGGCCACAGUGGGACUGAGACACGGCCCAGACUCCUACGGGAGGCAGCAGUGGGGAAUAUUGCACAAUGGGGGGAACCCUGAUGCAGCAACGCCGCGUGAGUGAUGAAGGUUUUCGGAUCGUAAAGCUCUGUCUUUGGGGAAGAUAAUGACGGUACCCAAGGAGGAAGCCACGGCUAACUACGUGCCAGCCGCCGCAGUAAUAC